CUGGUUGAUCCUGCCAGUAGUCAUAUGCUUGUCUCAAAGAUUAAGCCAUGCAUGUCUAAGUAUAAGCAAUCUAUACAGUGAAACUGCGAAUGGCUCAUUAAAUCAGUUAUCGUUUAUUUGAUAGUACCUUACUACUUGGAUAACCGUGGUAAUUCUAGAGCUAAUACAUGCUAAAAAUCCCGACCUCUGGAAGGGAUGUAUUUAUUAGAUAAAAAACCAAUGCCUUCGGGCUCCUUGGUGAUUCAUGAUAACUUAACGAAUCGCAUGGCCUUGUCCCGGCGAUGGUUCAUUCAAAUUUCUGCCCUAUCAACUUUCGAUGGUAGGAUAGUGGCCUACCAUGGUUUCAACGGGUAACGGGGAAUUAGGGUUCUAUUCCGGAGAGGGAGCCUGAGAAACGGCUACCACAUCCAAGGAAGGCAGCAGGCGCGCAAAUUACCCAAUCCCGACACGGGGAGGUAGUGACAAUAAAUACUGAUACAGGGCCCUUUCGGGUCUUGUAAUCGGAGUGAGUACAAUUUAAAUCCCUUAACGAGGAACAAUUGGAGGGCAAGUCUGG
rnacentral:rRNA from 1 species